UUGACAGCCCUGGAAACUGAUGUUCUAAUUAUCCUCAGAACAGGUGCACCUGGGCAUUUACCUGCCAAUGUGACUCUGCCUCACAGUGGAGAGCCCCUUUCUCAGAUUAGAUGGUAGUUCACUGUAAAGCCUUCUCAAAAUGCAGUCAUU
rnacentral:sRNA from 1 species